UACAGAGGUCUCAAGCGUUGUUCGGAUUCAUUGGGCGUAAAGGGCUCGUAGGCGGCCAACUAAGUCGGACGUGAAAUCCCUCGGCUUAACCGGGGAACUGCGUCUGAUACUGGAUGGCUUGAGUUCGGGAGAGGGAUGCGGAAUUCCAGGUGUAGCGGUGAAAUGCGUAGAUAUCGGGAGGAACACCUGUGGCGAAAGCGGCGCACUGGACCACAACUGACGCUGAGGCGCGAAAGCUAGGGGAGCAAACAGG
rnacentral:rRNA from 1 species